rnacentral:rRNA from 1 species
AUGAACGCUGGCGGCGUGCCUAAUACAUGCCAGUCGAGCGAACAGACGAGGAGCUUGCUCCUCUGACGUUAGCGGCGGACGGGUGAGUAACACGUGGAUAACCUACCUAUAAGACUGGGAUAACUUCGGGAAACCGGAGCUAAUACCGGAUAAUAUAUUGAACCGCAUGGUUCAAUAGGGAAAGACGGUUUUGCUGUCACUUAUAGAUGGAUCCGCGCCGCAUUAGCUAGUUGGUAAGGUAACGGCUUACCAAGGCAACGAUACGUAGCCGAACUGAGAGGGUGAUCGGCCACACUGGAACUGAGACACGGUCCAGACUCCUACGGGAGGCAGCAGUAGGGAAUCUUCCGCAAUGGGCGAAAGCCUGACGGAGCAACGCCGCGUGAGUGAUGAAGGUCUUCGGAUCGUAAAACUCUGUUAUUAGGGAAGAACAAAUGUGUAAGUAACUAUGCACGUCUUGACGGUACCUAAUCAGAAAGCCACGGCUAACUACGUG